GCGGGUGUGAUGUAGUUUGGUAACAUAAAGCCCUGCCACGGCUUAUCCCCGGGUUCAAAUCCCGGCACCCGCA
rnacentral:tRNA from 1 species